UCGCCAGAAAUAAGAAUGGCAAUGGAAGUUACGUUUGAAGCGAUCAUUGAUGCCGGAAUAAAUCCUGUAGAGUUACGGAACAAGAAAACCAAUGUUUACGGGAUUUUACUUGGA
rnacentral:lncRNA from 1 species